rnacentral:misc_RNA from 1 species
AACUUUUGGCAAUGGAUCUCUUGGUUCUCGCAUCGAUGAAGAACGCAGCGAAAUGCGAUAAGUAGUGUGAAUUGCAGAAUCUCGUGAAUCAUCGAAUCUUUGAACGCAUAUUGCGCCCUUCGGUAUUCCGAAGGGCAUGCCUGUUCGAGCGUCAUGUAAACAUGGUUCAAGUUUGGACUUUCAGCCGACUUGGUUCUGAGCGGUGAGCGCGCAGUAACAUCACGUUCCCCGCUUGAAAUACAACUGCGAAGACGGCUUCUUCGUUCGGUGUAGUAAUGGUUCCUAACCCCUUCACCUUCGAGCAUUCCGUUUUCAGCUGCCAUCACUGACGCCUUUGAUUUUGACCUCGGAUCAGGUAGGGAUACCCGCUGAACUUAAGCAUAUCAAUAAGCGGAGGCU